AUCUUCUUAAUAUAAUCAAUAUCAAUGAUUUCCAAUCAUUAAAUCCAAGUUAAACACAUGGAGAAGAUA
rnacentral:tRNA from 1 species